rnacentral:tRNA from 1 species
GCGGGGGUCGCAUAGUCUGGCCAAUUGCGCUAGAUUCAGAGUCUAGUCCUUAGUGGUACGAGGGUUCGAAUCCCUCCCCCCGCACCA